GGAUGCGAUCAUACCAGCACUAAAGCACCGGAUCCCAUCAGAACUCCGAAGUUAAGCGUGCUUGGGCGAGAGUAGUACUAGGAUGGGUGACCUCCGCUUGGGCGAGAGUAGUACUAGGAUGGGUGACCUCCUGGGAAGUCCUCGUGUUGCAUUCC
rnacentral:rRNA from 1 species